AGAGGAAUUCAGCCUUCUCUCUCUGCCCUUUGUGCUGAUUGGAGAGGGGACUGAGGGGGCAGACUCGGGAGCUGGGCAGACCUGGACUGGAGCUGCGGCCCCACCGCUCACCUGCUGCGCAACGUGGGCAAGUCCCUUCGCCUCGCGGAACCUCCGUCACCAUGCCCGUUAAAGUGGAGGUGGUUCCAGAGUCUUCCUCCUCUGUGGCUUCCAUCUCUGCUGUCUCUCUCUCUCCUGCAACGCAUCAACCUGCUAAACCCCUUUACUGCACCGUAGAGGGUCUCAGAGAGGCUGCAGGUGCGUGAGCAUCAGCACGGAUCAGGAGUCAGAAAAACUUAGGCUGGGGCCCAGGGAAACCACUUACCAGCUACAUGACCUUGGCAGGGGUUCCUAUAACUCCUCGGAAGCUCUUUGCUCCGUGAGGUUGUGAUAAUAAUCCCUGCCUUGCGUAUCUUGAAGGACUUUGGCAAGGAAAAACGCGUUGUGCAUGCGAAAGAGCUCAGAAAAUGCUCUGAACGCCUGGACACAUCUAUGCCUGCUUGCCUCCCACUUUCAGACCCAGGAUGCUCCCCUCAGGUUCGCCCUUUCGUGCUGUGUUAGGAACCACCAGCAUCUGGGAGGCGGAAUGGCUCACGCGGCAGUAAAGAGCCCUGCGUCUGCCGGCAGCCACAUCCACUAAAAGGCAUCUAUUACACUUCGACUAUGGGCCAGAUGCCGUGCUGGUUGCUGGGGAUGCAAAGAGAAAUAAGGCACGAGUCUUGCCCUCCAGGAAUUUGCAGUCUUGUGAGCAAGGAGUAAUAAAAAGACUCGCUUCCAUUUAUUGAGCACCUGCUGUGCCGCAGACUAUGUGGGGCUUACACACGUCCUCUCAGUAAAUCCCUGCAAGGACCCAGGACUGAAGCCCAAGCCGAGUGACAGGGGCCAGAGGCCUUGUCUCAACCAGCACUGUCUCCUGUCUUCUGGGAUCGGCUGGUCAGCUCCAUACAAUCCUGUCAUCAUCCCCACCGUACAGACGAGGAAACUGAGGUUCAGAGAUGUCAAGUCUCUUCCCAAGAUCACACAGCUCGUGAGUGGAGCGGCCAGGAUUUGAACCCACAUCUGCCUGGCUCCAAGCCUGGUGGGAAGGGAAAAGCGAGGAGGGAUUUUCAAGACUCCCAUCAUGAAACUCGAGCCUGGUGGUGUCCAAUUGUUAGAGCUGGACCUGAGGAUCAUUCCAGAAGCCCAGGAGGGUAUUGACCAUGCCCCUCAACCUGUUCUCCUCUUGGCCCCAGAGAAGCCCUUCUCCAAGACGCAGCUGUGGCCAAGCUCUCUUGGGCCAGAGCAUCCUGAGGGCCCACGAGGGGGCAGUGUCCCUGGUGCCCGCUCUCCAGUCCCGACCCGGCCAGCUCCUCUUGCAGCGUCUCAAGGGAGGGGCAGGGGGUCCAGGAUUAGUUUGGUGAGAAGAAAUGGAAUGAGAGAGGGGAGGAGCUGUGCUGGGGAGAGCUCGUAGCCCCUCAGAAGUGAGCCUGUGAAUCAGAGGCACCAAACACGUAAUAAACAUUGUAGCAGGGCUUGCGGCUGGUUCCUGCCUACUAGGUUUUGUGCUACUAGCCUUUCCUGCUAUACCCCUUAUUUAGUCCUCAAAGCAAC
ensembl:lncRNA